rnacentral:rRNA from 1 species
CUACGUGCCAGCAGCCGCGGUAAUACGUAGGGGGCGAGCGUUAUCCGGAAUUAUUGGGCGUAAAGAGUGCGUAGGUGGCACCUUAAGCGCAGGGUUUAAGGCAAUGGCUCAACCAUUGUUCGCCUUGCGAACUGGGGUGCUUGAGUGCAGGAGGGGAAAGUGGAAUUCCUAGUGUAGCGGUGAAAUGCGUAGAUAUUAGGAGGAACACCAGUGGCGAAGGCGACUUUCUGGACUGUUACUGACACUGAGGCACGAAAGCGUGGGGAGCAAACAGGAUUAGAUACCCUGGUAGUCCACGCCGUAAACGAUGAGCACUAGGUGUCGGGGUCGCAAGACUUCGGUGCCGCAGUUAACGCAUUAAGUGCUCCGCCUGGGGAGUACGCACGCAAGUGUAAAACUCAAAGGAAUUGACGGGGACCCGCACAAGCAGCGGAGCAUGUGGUUUAAUUCGAAGCAACGCGAAGAACCUUACCAGGACUU